GUCGGUGAAGUCCCACAAUAUUGGGAAACAGCUUGGAUUAGGCGUCGGUUUUAUUUGACACUGACCUAGCCUGCGUUGUUGGGGCUUUUCUUAAAUUUUUAGUUAUAAGUUCCACACCGCUUUUGCACAAACACUGCCGAAGAUUAAAUUUCCUAUUUUUUGGGCCGCUAACGGCGAUCAUUUAAAUUCACUCGACAAAUCUGGUAUUUUUCUGGUAUUUCCUUAGCUCAUCUGAGUAUCUCGGUGAAAAACAGACCCGAAGAAAAACGUUAGCCGCGUAUUUGUUUCUCGCUCACUCCUAAGGUAAGCUUCGAUGUUUUAAUGUUGUUUUAAUCGUAAAAAUAAAUAUUGCUUUCCUUUUUUUAAGGAAAUUACCAACCUCCAGCUUAUGUCCUUCUUGGCAAGACCUGGCAACUGUUGCACCGAAAUACAUAUUAUUUAUCUUAAGAAAAAGCCAUUCGAAGGCGCAUAUAUCUCACAGGAAAUUGUGGAUCCCCAAACUAGAGUUGUGCGGUGCAAGGUUUUUUAUGCCUUCGCGGUCAAUCAUCCAACGACAUUUCUAUGGUUGAAGAUAACCGCAUUUCGGAGGGCCAAGAAGAAAAAACCAUUGCCAUUGGAGGCAUGAGCCUAUGUACCUCAGUCCUGCAGAUCUUAUCUCUCGGUGCGCUCCGGUAGCGAAGCUUAAGUCGUUCAGAUGGUUUGACGGACCCGAUUUUAUGAAGUUGAAUCAAACUCAGUGGCCAGCAUAGAAGCGUGUAGAGCCUGAUGUAGAGGUCGUAAAAAUUGAAUGUCGGAAAACUGAAUUCGCAAUAUCAGCCAUUUAACACAAUUUUCUGGAAGGUGUAUAAAAGAUCAGCUAUCAUAGCCGCUGCCUAUCAGUAGUCGCCUGCAUACUUCGACUUGCCGAUGCUUCCAGGAAGCUUAAAAUAGUCAACACUUUAUCACGGUCACAGGACACCAUCGGAUAUAUUGUGGGCUUUUGGGAGCAAACCCAAAGCCUCUGCGCUCCCACCCGACCGUAGCAGCCGUAGAUGUCUCCGACUGCCCUUGGACCAGUCACCGUAAGAUACCUUGGAACCGUCUACAUGUUCCCUCCCCUCUGAAAGAUAGAACUUCUUCUGCUUCCCGUAAGGAAACCCAUCAGCCACCGCCCGCCGGGUGCAACAGUCCCACACAGGGAUUUGUGUAGACUGAUAGACUGGUCUGUCUUCUUUCUUUCGGUCCCUACCUAAAAGAGCUCUCUUAAGUGGAUCCCAGACUCGAUGAUAACACGCGAACCUAUUCGACGCGGUCGCUGGAGAGGAUUCCCCGUGAGAUUAACAAGUGCUCCGCGAUACAAUUGCGGUUAUGUUUGUUUUUUGGGUUUUUUUGUUCUUUGGCUUUGACGAUUUGAA